rnacentral:rRNA from 1 species
UGAAACUGCGGAUAGCUCAUUAUAUCAGUUAUAGUUCAUUUGAUGGUAAACCCACUACAUGGAUAACCGUAGUAAUUCUAGAGCUAAUACAUGCCUUGAAGCGGUAACUUCGGAAGGGCUGAAGCCGUGGACUUAUUAGAUCAAGAGCUGACCCUUUUCGGAGGAACAAGCUGAAUCAUAGUAAUUUCGCUAAUCGCAGUGGUUUUGUGCCGGCGAUGGGUCAUUCAAAUUUCUGCCCUAUCAGCUGUGAUGUUAGUGUAGUGGACUAACAUGGCAUAAACGGGUGACGGAGAAUUAGGGUCUGAUUCCGGAGAGGGAGCCUGAGAAAUGGCUACCACUUCCAAGGAAGGCAGCAGGCGCGUAAAUUACCCAAUCCCGAUACGGGGAGGUAGUGACAAGAAAUAGCA